UCGUCAACAUGUAUCAUACUAUAAUUGGACAUCCGAAUACCUAAUUUUACAUACACAUUCCCAUACACAUCGUCAUUCAUGAAAUCAUUUGUAAACCACCUCCACAACAUUCAAUUAUGCAAUUACCACAUACAUGAAUAACCACAUCAUAGGCGUAUAACAACCAUCAAUAUUGGUCAUCUCCAAAUAGCCUUAAUCAAAAAAAAAUUUAUUAAAUAAGGGCCAACAUUUUAGGCCAUAAGAAAUAUGACAUAUAUGACAAAACGACCAGGCCUACUAUACAUGCCAUAACCCAAAAAUUAAUGUAUCUAGAUAUACCAAGUGUUCCAAUUGACAGUGUGAGCGAAUCUCCGACAUCCACCGAUCCCCGAGCUAACUUGGCGAUACUAUAAGGCAAAGGAAAAGAGAGGGGAAGUAAGCAUAAAUGCUUAGUAAGUUCAUAUGAAAAUAAUAAGAAAUUAAUAAACUUGUGUGGACAAAUCCUCGCAAUAAUUUCUUAACAUGAUAUAAUCAUUAUAUCACAUGCUUACACCUUAUUACUAAUGUUCACAUUAAUCUGUCUACUUGAGUCACUGUCACUAAAUUAUUUAUUUCUCGAGCUACAGAGCUCCAAAUGAAGAACCGUUAAUUUUCCCUGAAACUAGACUUACAUAAUUUCUUACCAUAGAAAUUUUAGAAUUUUUGGUCUAGCCAAUUAAUACAGUUUAUUCAUUAAAAAUUCCCCUAUUUCACUGCUCGACAACUCUAACCCCUCUUCACUAAAAAUUAAUUAUCUUUUUUCACAGAACUCAAAUGAUGUCCCCGUUUGUUUCUCUUGAAAAUAGACUCAUUUAUAAAUUUAAGCAUAUGAAUCACAAACCAUAAUUAUUUUUGUACAAUUUUUAGUAAUUUUCCAAAUUUGGAACAGGGGAUUUCAAAUUCAUUCUGUCCCUGUCUCACUAGAAUUUAAAUAUUUCAAAAUAUAUAACUCUUUUGCUUACUAUGUUUCAUUUAUAUGAAAAUAGGCUCAUUCAAAUUUAAUUUCAUAUAUCAUACAACCUCUAAUUCAAUUCCCACCAUUUUUGGUGAUUUUUUAAACUCACACAAUUGUUUCUGUCCUAAACUGUUUUGUUGUUAAAUUUACUCGUUCUUAAUUUCAAUGCUUCAUUUCAUCGUGCCAAAGGGUUGAUUAAAGAUCGAACACGUUGUUCAUAACAUAUAUUUCCACUUAAUUAGUUUCCCGAUAAACACUUUGAAAUAAUCUCAAUUACACGAUGGAUCAGCACACAGCACCACCCUUAUAUAGUACUCGGUGUAAUCAGCACAUAGCAACCACCUUUAUACUCAAUGGUACCGGUUGAAUUCAGCACAUAGCAAUCACUUAUAUAACCAUUGGUAUCCGGUGAAAUCAGCACAUAGCAAUCACUUUUCAUAAAUAUCCGGUGGAAUCAGCACAUAGUAUCCACCUAUAUUUCCAACGAUAUCCGAUCCAUUCCGAAGGUUCAACCACAAAUUCUCAUUUUUUUUAAACAUUUUCCAACUCUUCCAUAUGUAACCGUAAUUCAUAAUUCACCUCAAGUAAUUAUUCCAUAUUCAAUCAUAUCUCAUAAAAAUGUUAAAACGUAAGCAAAAACAAGAAAUUAAUCACAUACAAACUUACUUGUUUGCAUCCUUAUCAAUAAUGCAUCAUAAUCUGAGCACAUUAUUUAUGAGUCUCAUACACAUACCUGUGCCUAGUCAUAAUACUCACAUAUCCUACUCUUACUUAUCUUGAGCAUACUCCUUGAAUUUCCCGUUGAACUACUUGUAAUAUUAGGGAUGUUCGAGAUAUCUCGUACACCUAGUAGGACGCCAAUGCCAUAUCCUAGAUAUGGUCUUACAUGGGAUCACAUAUCGGUGCCGAUGCCAUGUCCCAGACAUGGUCUUACACUGGCACUCAUCUCGAGCCGAUGCCAUGUCCCAAACAUGGUCUUACACUGACUCUCUUCUGUCCGUGCCGAUGCCAUGUCCCAGACAUGGUCUUACACUAGCACUCCACGGUCUGUGCUGAUGCCAUGUCCCAGACAUGGUCUUACACUGGCACACUCACUGCCAUGGUCCAACCAUGGUCUUUUCCGUCAAUUCAUCACGAGUUGUAGUACGAAUGUACUUGACCCUGUAUUUCUCACGAUUGAUCAUUUAAUCUAAUCUCGUACUUGCAUAAAGUCAUGAUUAGAUAACAAAUAUAUAUAAAAAAUAAGACAUCAUCUCAAUUCAAAUUUAAUAAUCGAUCACUUAGACUAACCAUAUGAACUUACCUCAACACGAAUCGAUCAUUUUGAUUGAUAUUUCCCCGUACUUGGUCCAAAUCUUGAUUUCUUUGAUCUAAAAUGUCACAUUUCACUUAAUUAUCACUCACAUUACUUAUUUUAAUACAAAAAUCAUACUACGACAUAUUUACAAUUUUACCCCUAAACUUUCUCAUAAUUACAAUUUUGCCCCUAGGCUCGUAAUAUGAUUUUUAUUCAAUUUCCAUAACAUUCAAGGUCAGCUGAACCUUUUACUCUUCUAAAACAACCUCAAAUUCUUAUUAUUUCACACUUUUAGGAGCAUUUACAACUUUUACUAAUUAACCCGUUUUAACCAUUUUCAACGAAAAUCACUUAGCAAAAAUCGUUCUCCUAACCUCGUGCACCCUUAUUCUACCAUUAAACAUCAAAAUGCACAAAUAUCUAGCAUGGGUCAAUUUUUAAACUUCAUUUUUCAUGUAAAUAAAUGGUAAAAAUGGAAAGAUUAAGCUUCUAGGAUCUCAAAAAUACGAAGAACAUUAAAAAUGGGGCUCAAAUGCACUUACAAUUGAACUUUGAAAAAGCUUGAAACCCUAGCCAUGGCUUUUUGAAAACUUCGGCAGCAUGGAGAAGAGAAUGAGC
rnacentral:lncRNA from 1 species